rnacentral:rRNA from 1 species
UACGUAGGGGGCGAGCGUUGUCCGGAUUUAUUGGGCGUAAAGAGCUCGUAGGCGGCUUGGCAAGUCGGGUGUGAAACCUCCAGGCUCAACCUGGAGACGCCACUCGAUACUGCUAUGGCUAGAGUCCGGUAGGGGACCACGGAAUUCCUGGUGUAGAGGUGAAAUUCGUAGAUAUCAGGAGGAACACCGGUGGCGAAAGCGGCGACCUGGCCCGAUACUGACGCUCAUGGACGAAAGCGUGGGGAGCAAACAGG